rnacentral:misc_RNA from 1 species
UGGCUCCAGCAUCGAUGAAGAACACAGCGAAAUGUGAUAAGUAAUGUGAAUUGCAGACUUCAGUGAAUCAUCGAAUCUUUGAACGCACAUUGCGCCCCCUGGUAUUCCGGGGGGCAUGCCUAUCCGAGCGUCGGUACCCCCCUCAAGCGUCCAGCUUGGUCUUGGGCCAUGCCUCUGGGCAAGCCCUAAAUCCAGUGGCGACCCAGCCCGCCCCCCUCGCGUGGUAACCCUGCCGCGAGGGGGGCGGGUCGGGGCCGGCCAGCAAGCCCCCUCUCUCGUUGACCUCGGAUUAGGUAGGAAUACCCGCUGA